GGGAGGACGGGAAGGGAGAUUAACCGAUUCAGAUCUAACAUUAGCAUUUCCUACUGCGGGUGUCUCACCAAUAUUUUCAUCAUCUUCGUCUAAAUUAACCGCAUCUACUUCAUUUUCUUCUUCUAUACCAUAAUUUUUCUAGGCUUCUACAUAAUUCAUAUCGUGAGCACCUACACCUAUUUCUACCUCAAAAGGUGUACCAAGCAAUACCGGAGGCGAAGGUACAUGGAUAUAUCUACUACUUGAAGUACCUCUACCGCUAGUAAUUCGCUUUUUACUACCACUACCGC
rnacentral:lncRNA from 1 species